GCCCAUGUAGCUCAGCGGUAGAGCACACCCUUGGUAAGGGUGAGGUCAUGAGUUCAAUUCUCAUCAUGGGCU
rnacentral:tRNA from 3 species